AUGAUAAUAACAGCUACCAUUUUCAGAACAUCUUAGGUUUGUGGCAUUGUACGUACUUCGUUUCUAAUGUUAAAAUUAUUUUUGAAAGCAAGGUCUAAUUAUCCUUUUUCUAGAUGAAGGCAAUGAAACUGAACCAGGAUUUGAACUCAAAUAUCAUCAAUGGAAAAACUCAGACCCAUUUCACAAAACCACCUUGGCUUCCAAGUCAUAUUCUAGAGAUAAACCGAAAAGGUUUAAUAGUAAUCAAGAGAGCAUGCAAAGCUGGAGAAAGCACAAGUCUAGGAGAUACAGGAAAUAAACAGCCCUGCAGUGCUCUGCCUAUAAUGGAAUAGAAGCCACUUCCACCAAGGAGAACACUCAGUGAGCAACAACAAAGAGAGAUAGACUCCGGGUUGGUCCUUCCAAUUCCUCAAGCAUCUCCUAGAUAGACAUGUGAAGACGGGGAAAUGAAGAAAGCCUGGGUUAAGAGGUUGAGCUGGCUGAACCCAAGGAUCUAGAAGAGAUAAGUUAAAGCCUUUUUACAACUUCCAGCAGCCCUCGGCAAAGUUACAGCACCAGAAAACCACCUGGUCACCCAGUUUCCUGCCAGUAACUGGACAAAAGAGGGAGGCUAGCGAAACUCCCCAAAGGACUGUUAAUUAGUUUAAGGGGCAACCUACACCUGAUGCCCUUGAUUAUUUCUCCUCCCCUGUUAGCAAAAAAUUAAAGGGACAGGAAAGACGAAGAGGGCACCGACUAUUAUCUUUCACUGUGGCUGAUAAAUGCAUCUUUCUCUUUUUUUUUUUUUAAAGCAAAUUACUGGUAUUGCUGUUUUCUUAGGUGUAACGCAGAGCCUCUCAGAGGUCAGACAAUUUUGUUGUGACCUCAGCAGGCUACUAUGAUUAGACUAUAUUGGUUUGUUCCUUUCAUGUGUUAAGGUGACCAUGCAAAUGCGUGGACUUCUUAACUGCAGAAGGCCAAAAGGAAAUCAGGCAGCCAAAAGGAAAUUGUGCGUAAUCAUCCCUCUUCCAAAUUUACUUGGAUUUCUUAAGCAUAUAUGGGCAGAGAAUGUUUGAAAGCCUUUGAGGCAAUGUGUGGGCGGGGGCAGGGUGGAAAGUGGGUUUCAGUGCUGGAUCCAUUCUGUUAUUUGGAGUAUCUUAUAAAUAUAUUUAAUAUCUCUGUUUCUUCAUCUACAAUGAGGGAACAAACAUCGCCUUCUCAGGACAUUCAGGUAUAGUGGGGAAGGGUCCAGGCCACUCUAGACCCGUAUCUACACUUCAAUAUGAGGGAAGGAAACUGCUUCUCAUUUGAAAUCUUCAAAUUCACCAUUUUGGUUGUUUCUUCAUUCAACUGAGAUGAUCAUCUAAAACAAAAUCAUGACACUAUGUAUUAAUUUUCCAUUGCAGCUGUAACACAGUGCCACAGAUGUUGUAGAUGGAAACCACAAAUUAAUUUUCUUGCACUUCUCUAGAUUAGACGUGUGACACAGACCAAACAGGGGUAAAAUCAUAGUGUUAGCAGGGCUGUGUUUCUUCCUGGAGAAUCUGUUUCCUUCCAUUUUCCAGCUUGUAGAGGCCACCCACAAGCCAUGACUCAUGGCCCUCUUCCUCUGUCUUCAAAAUCAGCAAGAUUUCAUCUUCCUGACCAUAGCCAAGAUAGUUCUCUGAUUUUUAAGGACCCAUGUGAUCACAUGGAGCUCACCUGGAUAAUCCAGAAUAGUCUUCCUCAUCUCAAAGUCCGUUACUUGAUCACAUCAGCAAAGUCUCUUUUGCCCUGUAAGGUAACAUAUUCAUAGGUUCCUGGGAAUAGAAUGUGGAAAUCUUUGGGGAUCACUGAUCUGUCUAUCCUACUCUGGAAAGUAGCAGAAUCUUAUAAAUGUUCAUUAUUUAUUAGAAAACAUCUUUGCAGACUUGACCCUGUUUUUAGGACACAUAUGGGCAAUUCUAGAACUUUCCACUCUCCUCCAAAUAGUUUCCUAGUGUCAAAUGUGAUAAUAUCAAGUAAAUUGAAUAGGAAAUAAGAUUUAACUGCAUCUAAUUUUUUGGUCAGAUUAUGUACAAGAUAUGUUUUUGACCAACCUAUUUUGAAAUGUCAUUUUUUUUUACAGAAAAAUUAGGCCAAAACUGUUUAAUAAUCUAACAACUAAGUUGCAGGAACUAUACAUUUCAAAAAUAGUAAGAUCAAUAUUAUGUCUUAAUCACCAUCAAAAUGUAGACGUCAAUAUUUCUGUACCUUUUAAAUAUUCCCAAGGUCACCAAAAAUAUCAAUACUCUCAUAUUCUGAUCAUUUUUCUCAUUAUGGCUACAGGCUUCUUUGACCCAAAUUGUUUUCAAUUUACACUACUCAGUUACACUCAAUACCCACCAGAAUCCUGCUAUAACACAUUCUAGUCCUUUUUGAUCUUUUUAGCUGAGUGCUUCCUUCCUGCAUUAUUAAAGUUUAAAUGUUAGAAUUCCCAGGAGUCCGUUUUAGGGUAAUGUUAUUUAGUUACACUAAAUCCUUGCCUAAUCACUUCAGGUCCCACAGCUUUAUCUGACAUCUGUAUUCUAACAAAUGCCAAAGUUAUAUUUCCAGGCCCAACCUCUGCCAAAAUCACAUAUGACAUCUCUACCUAGAUGCCUAAUAGCCAUAUGAAACCUACACUUUCAGAAGUCUUGCCCAUCUCAGUAAAUGGCGAAAUGGCAACUAUAUUGUUUAUGUUGCCCAAACUCUCCAGUGUUCCUUGACAAUCUUCUGUCUCUCACAGUCAACAUAUGUAAACUAUGACAAAUGCAUCCAGAACAUGAUUGCUUUUCUCACUGCCAGGCUCACUAUUUUUCUAGCCCGUGUCACCAUCAUCUCUCACCAGGAUUACUGCAAUAGUUCCUAAAUGAUCUUCUUGCUUCUAUCCUUGCCUUCCCCUUGGUUCAAAAAUGCCCUGUGACUUCCUAUGUCACUCAGAAUAAAUUACAAAGUCCACAUUAUGGAAACAAGGCCCCACAUGAUCCAGCCUCUACCUCACUGCUCUCAUCUCCUGCUGUUCACUCGUUUGCCUGCUAGGCUCCGGGCACUCUGGCCUCAUGGGUCCUUCAGACUUGCUAUGAUUAAGACCUUCCAUUUUCCCCUUUCCACUCUCCGUGCUUCUCUUUUCUGUGCCCUGAGAGGGAGAACGGUGUGGACUUUAUCAACAGGUGCCUUAGCCUUCUGUUUUCAGCCAAUAGCGGGCACUGUCAAGAAAUCAGAGGGAGGACAAGAGUAAGAUUAGAAUGUAUAUUCACUGUCUCCCUCUCUACAGGUUCUUUGCUGGCAGGACACAGGCAUCCUUUGUUUAAGGGGUUUACUCCUACAAAGUAGCCCUCUUUACACAUUUCUCUCUGUCUCCGGUUCCUACAAUUAAUCUCACCCCUCACCCUUUUGGGCCUAACAUCAGUAAUGGAGACCUACUGUUAUUAGCCCUAGGUACUGUAUUUUUCCCAAUGACUUUCUUAUAUUCUCUUUGUUCUUUAUAUAGAGUAUUGAUUAGACUCUACUCAAAUUAUUUUGCUGGAAGCCGGACUAAUAUAAAUGCCAAGCACACUCCUGCUUUAAGACCUCAGGAGUUUAUCUAUCUAAGAUCAUGUCAUCUGCAAAUACAGGUCCUCCAGGCCUAGGCCUCCAGCCGCCCCCUGCCAGAGCUAUUGAGCCAGCAGCAAACUCACCAACUCCCUGGACAGAGCCUUCAGGGGCAACCGAAAGCCUCUCUGCUACUGCCCUUGCAGUGGAACUGCCCCUGCAGUGGAACUGCCCUUGCCACCCUUGCACUAAUGAAGAGGCAGAAAACCUAAGUGGUUUAUCCACAUCUUCAACAAGUUGCAGUUGACCCAAGGAAAGGAGGCCAGUCCAUCUCUCAUGGGUCACACACAUCCUACUGCUUAUCAGCAGACCCCUGGCUUGGGACCACAGCACAGACCCUCCAUCCUGGGCUGAUUACACUGAGUGAUUAAUGGCCUGAAUCUCUCUGGGGUGGAGCCCUCAGGAGAUAAGCAAAUGACCCUUGGCCACAACCACUACUAAGGUUCCUUCCUCUGUUGCCUCCAAAUUGGGGAAAGAAUAUAACCCCUGUGAUUGCCUCAGAGCUGCACUGAUCAACCUAGGAGUGCUAAGCUGAGAUCUACAGCCAGCAUGCAAGGGAAAGAAGAACCCACACUUUCAGAGCACUGAGAGGGAGCACAGCUGCAACUGUGAAGAAACAUAGGAGAACCACAGAAUCGAGCAAGAGUCUACCAACUGAACAAUAAGCCUAAAUACCACCUGCUGGAUUCCGCAGCUUCAACACCAAAAAUACCUCACUAACAUACUCCAUUCUGAAACAAGAGACAAGAAGUCAGCUUCAAAUAAAAACCCUGCACAAAGCCUCAGCUCAGUGAAAACAUCCAGAAAAUAAGUCUAUUUACUAUACUUAAUCUACACUGAAGUUAAAGGAACACCCACAUGCAGAGAUGAGAAAGAACCAACAUAAGAACUCCAACAGCUCAAAAGGCUAGAGUGUCAUAUGUCCUCCAAACAACUGCACCAGUUCUCCAAUUAGAGUUCUUAAUUAGGCUAAACUGGCAGAAAUGACAGAAAUAGGUAGGAAGAAAGAUUAUUGAGAUUCAGGAGGAUGACAAAGCUCAGUCCAAGGAAAAUAAGAAUCAUAAUAAAGCAACACAUGAGGUGAAGGAUAAGUUAGUAGAAAAAAGAAUCUAAUGGAUUUCACACAGCUGAAUAACACAAUACAAGAGUUUCACAAUGUGCUCACAAGCAUUAACAGCAGAAUAAACCAAGCUGAGGAAAUAAUCUCAGAACUUGAAGACUGGUUCUGAGUCUUGAACACUGAAAUAAGACAGUCAGACAAAGAUAAAAAAAAAUAAAAAGGAAGAAACAAAACUUCUGAGAAGUAUGGAAUUAUUUAAAGAAGCCAAAUCUAUGAAUCAUUGGCAUCACUGAAAGGGAGGGAGAGAAAGCAAAAAACUUGGAAGACAUAAUUUAGGGUAACACCCAUGAUAAUGUCCCCAACCUUGCUAGAGAGGCCAACAGUCUAAUUCAGGAAAUACGGAGAACUCCUUCACGAUUCUAUACAAGAAGAUCAUUCUCAAGAAACAUAAUCAUCAUAUUUUCCAAGGUCAAAAUGAAAAAAAAAAGGAUGUUAAAGGCAGCUAGAGAGAAAGGAGACAUCACCUACAAAGGGAACUUCAUCAGGCUAACAGCAGAUAUCUCAGCUGAAACCCUACAAACCAGAAGAUAUUGGGGACCUAUAUUUAACAUUCUUAAAGAAAAAAAUCUUCAACCAAUAAUUUCACUUCAGCCAAACUAAGCUUCCUAAGUGAAGGAGAAAGAUCCUUUUCAGAUAAGCAAAUGUUAAGAGAAUCUAUUACCAACAGAUCUGUUUUUCAAGAGAUCUUGAAAGGAGCACUAAAUAUAGAAAAAAGUUUGCUACCAGCUAAUACAAAAACACACUUAAACACACAGACCAGUGUCACUAUAAAGCUGCCACACAAACAAACCAACAUCAUAACCAGCAGACAGCACAAUGACAGGAUCAAAUCCACACAUAUCAAUACUAGUCACUAGUGCCUCUUUUUAGUCAUUCUCUUCCUGCCCACAAGAGGCAACUAAUAUUUUAAAUUUUUUUCCACCACAGAUUUAUUUUGCUUGUUUUCAUAUAAGUGGAAUUACACAACAUGUACUCUUUCGUAAGUCUCAUGCUUAGCAAAAAAGUUUCGAGAUUAAUUCUUGCUGUAUAUAUCAGUAGUUCAUAUUUUUAAAAUUUCUAGUAACAUUUCGUUCUACAGUUUGUCUAUUCUGUUGAUGGACAUAUGGGCCAUUUCUGGUUUUCAGCUAAUAUAAAUAAAACUGGCAUGAACUCUCCUGUAAAGUCUUUUUGUGGACCUGAUGUUUCAUUUAUCUUGGGAAGUAACUAAGAGUUGAACUACUAGGUGAUAAGGUUUAGUUUCAUGAGCAACUGCAGAGAGUUUUUUUUUUUAGAGUAGUUGUAAUAUUUUAUUGUCUUAUGAACAAUGUACGAGAGUUGUGAUUAUGACAAAAGAUUGAGUUACACAGGCUUAUGAAUUUGUCAAAACUCAUUGAAUGGAACAAUUGAGAGAUAUGCAUUAUAUCGUAUAUAAAUGUUGCUCAGUAGGAAAAGCAGUAGACAAAUAUUAAACUUCAUUUGGUAAAAUAUGUGCUGACCUGGUUAGUGGGAAAGUGUACUGAAUAUGUGCAACUUAUUUUGAAAUGCAUAAGAUACACACAGUAUGCAUAAAAGGAUAGAUAUAUGCACAAACAACUGAUAACACAACUAGAAGAAAUGUUAAUUGUAGAAUCUAGGUAGUGGGUAUAUGAGUAUUCCUAUACAAUUCCUUCUACUUUUGUACAUGGUUAAAUUUUUUUCAAUAAAAUGCUGGAGAAAACA